AGAGUUUGAUCAUGGCUCAGGGUGAACGCUGGCGGCGUGCCUAAGACAUGCAAGUCGAACGGGCCUGAUUUCGGUCAGGCUAGUGGCGGACGGGUGAGUAACACGUGGGUGAUCUACCCCAAAGUCUGGGACAACUAGGGGAAACCUUAGCUAAUCCCGGAUGGUGAGGCUUCUCCUGUGAAGUCUCUAAAGAUUUAUCGCUUUGGGAUGAGCCCGCGGCGCAUCAGCUAGUUGGUGGGGUAAUGGCCUACCAAGGCGACGACGCGUAGCUGGUCUGAGAGGACGACCAGCCACAGGAGCACUGAGACACGGGCUCCACUCCUACGGGAGGCAGCAGUUAGGAAUCUUCGUCAAUGGGCGAAAGCCUGAACGAGCGACGCCGCUUGAGGGACGAAGCCCUUCGGGGUGUAAACCUCUGAACAGGGGACGAUGAUGACGGUACCCUGCUAAUAGCACCGGCUAACUCCGUGCCAGCAGCCGCGGUAAUACGGAGGGUGCGAGCGUUACCCGGAUUUACUGGGCGUAAAGGGCGUGUAGGCGGUUUUCUAAGUCCGGGGCUAAAGACCAGGGCUCAACCCUGGGUUUGCCUUGGAUACUGGAAAGCUCGACGGCUGGAGGGGGCAGCGGAAUUUCCGGAGUAGCGGUGAAAUGCGCAGAUACCGGAAGGAACGCCAAUAGCGAAGGCAGCUGCCUGGACAGUACGUGACGCUGAGGCGCGAAAGCGUGGGGAGCAAACCGGAUUAGAUACCCGGGUAGUCCACGCCCUAAACGGUGAGUGCUGGGUGUCCGGCGUUUGCCGG
rnacentral:rRNA from 1 species